ACGGGCGAGUAAUACAUAGGAACAUACCAUUUGGUGGGGAAUAACCACGGGAAACUGUGGCUAAUACCGCAUGGUGACGUGAGUCUAAAGAGGGCCUCUACUUGUAAGCUCUCGCCAAAUGAGUGGCCUAUGUCCCAUUAGCUAGUUGGUAGGGUAAAAGCCUACCAAGGCGACGAUGGGUAGCUGGUCUGAGAGGAUGAUCAGCCACACUGGGACUGAGACACGGCCCAGACUCCUACGGGAGGCAGCAGUAGGGAAUUUUGCACAAUGGGCGCAAGCCUGAUGCAGCAACGCCGCGUGAGUGAAGAAGGCUCUUGGGUUGUAAAGCUCUUUCGGCUGGAAAGAAGGGAUUGCUCGCGAACAGUUAGCAAUUCUGACGGUACCAGAAGAAGAAGCACCUGCUAACUACGUGCCAGCAGCAGCGGUAAUACGUAGGGUGCAAGCGUUGUUCGGAAUUACUGGGCGUAAAGGGCGCGUAGGCGGGCCUGUAUGUCGAUUGUGAAAGCCCCGAGCUCAACUUGGGAAUAGCAGUCGAAACUGCAGGUCUUGAAUGCCUGAGGGGAUGGCGGAAUUCCCGGUGUAGAAGUG
rnacentral:rRNA from 1 species